ACACUGAGUGUAAGACGUUAAUAAAAGCCUUUUGCAAUAAAUGUCACGAAGGGAGGAGGCGAGGGUGUCGGGCUGGUGAUGUCACUCGUUUCCUCUUGCCUUUGGCAGGCUCGCGGUGUUUACCCAACACCCUCAGGUGCAGCGACUGAGGCGUCGCUAGGCAACCGCACCAUCCCUGGCGCUGCUCUGCCUCUGGCACUCAAGUGGGAGCUUAUGUGGACUUAACUCGGAAAAGAGCAGCAGGGCUGAGGAGCGGAAGGGAGGAUUACCAGGAAAAAUAUUGGAUUGGGCCGAGACACAAGGGCCGAGGCCUUACCUGAGUCCCCGCUGCCGUCGAACAUUGACGCCCUGAGAGGCUUUCGGGCCUCGACGAGGUUCCCACAACCAGAAAGAGACCCCGGCAGAAGAGCAGGUCCCUGAGAUUGACACGCGUGAUGCGCUGUCGAGUGAGUCUGGAGCCCGAGGAACCAGCGGCGCCGGUUAGAGACAAGCCUGUUCCGGACCCCUGAAAGAUGUGGAGAAGUUAAGGAAGAAGGAAACGGAGUCAGCUGACGGUUGCAGUGAGAACAGAGCUCUGCUUGACCUAAUGAGAGCCGUCGCUCUGCAAGUUUCUCUGCUCGAGCAGUUGGUGAGGACCGCCGGUGACAGCUGGUGACAAACUCAGCUUUCUAUCACCAACACGGCCACCGAGAAGCAGGCUCGACUCUCACCGCUAACAUUUGUAACCAUUAACAAAAAGAAUGUUUCAAACUGGAGCUAUAAAUACACUUAGUGACUCUCAGAAAGGAUCUGUUGAUGACAGUGCCUUGCUAAAGUAUUCAUAUCUCUUUUUUUAACGUUUUAAUCACAUUGCAUCCUCAACCUUCAGUGUGAUUUUUUUUAUUUUUUUAUUUUGUGAUGGGGUAAUCCUGUCGUGACAAGCAAUAAAUCAAUUCAUCACACGCUAAAUUAAAAAUGACCUUGAUAAUUUCGACUUGGACAAUAAUCUUUAAAAAGACACUUCCCUUUUAAUAUUGUUGAAAAGCCGCCAUUUUGAAAAACACUGGAAACAUUUGACAUCCACUUUGAAGUAGUUAGUUUGCACUUUUUUUUUCAUAUAAAAAUCCUACCUGGCUCUUUUGUCUGUUUUCCCUGACCAAGAGGACUGAUUAAUAUUUUUUGAAAUGGUUCCAGAUGCUUCAUAAUCUAUUUUAAUUAUUGUUGUCUCAGUUGUUUUGUUUAGUUAUUUUGGAUUUUUAAAAUGUUUUCCAGUCCCAGUGUCAAAUGUUCUUGAUUUUUGAGAUGGUGUUCUAGUAUUAUCAUUAUAUUAGUUGAAAAAUGUUCUCAAAAUGACAUUGUUAUUGUUUAUCACAAUACUUUCUGGCAUAAUUUAUGGUCCAGCAAAAUUUGUUGUCGUGACAGAAAUAUGAUAGGCCAACACAAAAUUGGACAUAAUGGUAAAUGGUAGGGGAAAUGAUGAUUAAGUUCACAAAUGUAUCAAAACCUGAUUGUCCACCAAGACUGAGCAAGGGAAAUAUUAAUCAGAGAAGUCAGAUGAGCCAAUAUAACUCUGCAGGAGCUGCAUUUGUCCAAUCCAUAAAUCUGGGCAUUUUGAAAGAUGGGCAAAAAGACGUCUGUUAAAAAAAAAAAAAAAAAAAA